UUCUUCCUUGAGAUUCAUUAAGAAUCUAAUUAGUUUUUCCUAUAUAUAAUAAUGUUUCAUCAGAGAAAGCAAAGGACUUACAGGAUUAUCAUUGGGAGAUUUUGGAUAAAACGCCAAAUCAGAAGGAAUGGAUCCGACCCUGUAUAUUGCUGCGAUGAGAGGCAAUAUCGAAGAUGCGAAUUUUCUACUUGUUGACCAUCUGAAAAGGGAUGAGGAAAAUGGCUACCAAGUCACUCUGAAGGGCAACACGGUCCUCCAUGUCACAUCCCUCUAUGGCCACUCUCAUUUCGCGGCAGAAGUCCAUAAGAUAACUCCGGCAACAUUAUGCUGUCAAAACAAGAAAAAUGAAAGCGCUCUUCACAUAGCAGCUAAUGAAGGGCAUACGGAAGUAGUACUUGUGCUGCUUGCAUGUAUAGAAGAUCAUAACAAUAACAAGAAACUCACGAGGAUGACGGAUGCUAGUGGAGAUACAGCUCUGCACAAGGCUGUGAGGAGCCAGCAUUUAGAUGUGGUUAAGCUCUUGGCGAAAGAAUAUUUUGAAUUCGAAUUUCUGCCUAACCAUGCACAGGAGACGCCAAUGUAUCUGGCGGCUGAAUCUAGUUUUCAUGAUGCUUUGAUUAACAUCUUGGAAUUCUGCAAGAAACCAACUUAUGCUACGGGUCCAUCUAAUAGAACGCCUCUGCAUGCAGCAGUAAUUCAGGAACAUAAAGGUAAAGCGGAGGUACGAGUACAUGCCCAAUCCAAAUGCUGAAAUGCGAACAGGAGGCUAAAUGCAACUGAGGGAAGAUGAUCAAGAUAAAGCUAAAGCGGUAGAUCAAACAGUAAUCGAAAGUAUUAUGAAGAUAGCUUAAAUCCAUAUUGUUGUGGCCACUUUGAUAAUGGCAGCUACUUUUUCCACUGGUAUCACAUUGCCAAGAGGUUUAGAGAGUGACUCCAAUAGCCCUGGAUUGCGAUUCUAAUAAGGAAAAUAGCAUUUUGUGCAUUUGCUGUUUCUGAUGCCAUUGCCUUCACAUGCUCAGCUGUUGCCAUAUCUAUCUACUUCCUCAUGGCAGAUACAAGUAGAUCUCCUCAAAGUAAGAAACUUGUAAAGAAGCUUUAUGUUCUUGCAGGUAUUUUUCAGUUCUUGUCAAUGUUAGCAGUUGUAAUUGCAUUCGCAACGGGUAUGUUCGCUUCUUUAUCACAUUCACUUGGUCCUGCCGUUACUGUUUGUUCCAUAGGUUGCCUCUCUAUUUUAUUGUACUUCUUGGUUGUUAUUUAUAGUUUCAGAUAUAUAUGGUGAGAGUAAGAUGAAGAAUGUAAGCCAGUAGAGAGACAUGAAUGCUAGCUACUACUUGUACUUAUUGCUUGCAAAUAUAUAAUUCAACUACAUAUUUCAGUUUUUACCAAAUACCUUGAAUUACAUAUGAAAGAUAUGGUUUUAUAGUCCAUUACAUGUUUUUUUAGUUCUGCAUCCUUUAUCACAUGUCAUGUGUGCCUAAUUCACAAGUACGCUCUUACCACUAGAUAGGAACCCUGGGUAUGACUAUGUUGCAUGGGUUUUUGACAUAUGCAUUUUCAGUGUGACAUGGAUCUAGUUUUGAUUUUUUGGUCGCUCUUUCUAAGAGUCGAGAAUGUAAAAAGAAAACAUCCCUUGCGAAAGCCUCACGACCUGGUGGUCAGAAUAAUAAUAAUAACAAUAAUGAUAUUUGACGAUAUGUUGUCUGUUUACUAAGAACAUAGCAGAGAUAGAUUAUCAUAAAUUAUUCAUGCAUGCAUUUGAUUAUCGUGGCAACAUUCCCUCAUGGCACAUCUAAACAUGGGAUCGGAAAUCGUAGAGGAGCAAAAUCAUUAUCAUUUUUGAGAUUUAAGGCUAUUCCUUUCACACUGCUAGCAAAUUCAAUCAUUUCCCCAUCUUAAAUGUGGUUUUAUCCAUAAAAAUGUAAAACCCCAUCGAGUGAAUAGUUUGGUUACUAUAUUCUUCAAAUCGCUAGCAAAUCUAUUGUUGGUUUGUCUAAAUCUUGUGAAUAACGUUGUUAUCAUUUUUCUAGGUUAAUUAAGUCAAUUUUUCUAUAUAUGUAAACUCACAUUUAAAUCUUGAUCUCCUACGAUUUUCACCCACUUCAACGUUCAACUCGUAUUUGUAAUUUUUUGGAAUUCAAUUACUAACACUUGAAAUCAUUGUCUCUGCUCAUGUUCAUGGACUACACUAGUCUUAUCACGAGUUCAGUACAAGGAACAUAACAAAAAAUUUUACACUAGGAAAGAGAUGCAACUGAUGAAAUAGACAGUACAACUAAGUGAUUUCUCCCAAUCCGUUAGAGAGUUACAUGGUACAUGUGUUGGGGGUUUGGGCGAGGGGGUUAGAUAGCAAAUAUCUCAUUGAAUUAGUUGAGGUGCACUCAACACUGCCCUCACGUACACUAGCCAUAGUUACUAGUACUUAUUUCUUGCAAAUAUAUAAUUCAACUAUAUCUAUAAUUACAUAUGACAGAUGCUUUCUUAGUCUAUUACAUGUUAUUUUAGUUAUAAAUCCUUUAUCAAAUGAUCUAACAAUCUAUGUAAGAUCAUUUUUUUCUAUUUAAAUUAUAAGCGGUUUCAGGAGAUCAUUUUUCAUCACCGACAAUACUAUAGAAUCAAUGUACCUUCGCUAAAUAAUUCAUCAUACAACAACAAAAAUAUACCCAGUGAUAUUCCACAAGUGGAGUUUAGGGAGGAUAGAGUAUAUGCAGAUCUUACCCCUACAUUGGGAGGCAAAGAGGUUUCCAAAUUUUGAUGGACCUUCAAUGCAAGGAAAAAUGAUUCAAAGCAUCCCGGUGCACUAAAGCUCCCCCUAUGUGUAGGGUUCGGGGAAGGGUGUAUUGUAUGUAGCCUUACAUUCUAGUUUUGCCGGAGACUGUUUCCAAGUCUUGAACCCGUGACCUCCUGGUCACAUUGCAGCAACUUUACCAGUUACUCCAAGAGAACAGAGAGCAUGACAAAGCAUUCUUAAAAAAAAAGGGAACAGUAACUACAACAGAGUACUAUGAUAAUCGAAGAACAAAAGAGUAGUAGAUAAUUAUAGAAAUCGAAGGAAGAGAAACUACAAAAGUAAUACUAUGACUAACUAGUAUGGAAGGAAAAGAGAGAAAACUCUACUGGAUUCGUUUCCUCCAUAACUUCCCAUCUUAGGUCAUGUCCCCAGUUAGCUGAAACUACAUCAUGUAUUGUCUAAUUAGCUCUUCCCAAUACUUCAUCGAUCUACUCAACCUCUCUUGAAACCAUUCAUAGCCAAUCUCACACAUCUCCACAUGGGGCAUCCGCUCCUCUCCUCUUUACAUAUCUGGACCAUCUCAGUCUCUCUUGCCGCAUCUUCAUUUCUAAUCCUAACGUGAAAAACAUAUUCCCAACUAAAUGGUAUCCUCUAUAUGAUCAUCUUUUUCUUCUGUUAUGUCCUAUCUUUCGCUAAGUCUGCAUAAAUUCCAAAAGUUUAUAGGUCUUUAGAUGCAAUUUCUCUUAUGCGAUAAGAAAUGUACCUUAAAGAUGCAAUGAAAUUUAUAGGAUACAUGCCAUCCGAAGUUCCAGACAUAGAUAAAAACCGUCCUCUGUAGGGCUUAAACAUGAAAGAUUCAACUUUCUAAAUUCUUAAAGCCGUACUUAUUGUACUUUAGAAAUUAUUGACUCAAAAUAUUAUACUCUUUGAUAGUUAGCAACUUUUCUCUCUUCCUCUCUUUCUCUAUAUGACACCAAAAAAAGGCAGCUCGGUGCAUUAAAGCUUCUGUUAUGCACAGGGUCCGGGGAAGGGCCCCACCACGAGGGUGUAUUGUAUGCAACCUUACCUUACAUUUCUACCAGCUAUUUCAAAGGCUUAAACCCGAGACCUCCUGGUCACAUGACAACAACUUUACCAGUUACUCCAACGUUAUCAGCGACAUACACACACACACAUAUAUACAUAAUCAUGUCGAGAAUACUGUGUUUGCAAUUUACAUGCCUUUUAUCUGUUAAUGAUUAUAUAAUCUUGCAUUACUGAUACAGUGUUUGGUUUCCGGUACUAAAUUCCAUUGUACAUAACUUAAAAUCUAUGGGUUCUCAAGUAAAAUAUUUAUAGAUAAUAGUGAUCAUUUCUUAAUAUAUAUAUACAGGUCUAGCAAAAACUAUUUGAUUCAGAUAGUGAAUCCAUAAAACCAACGUUGUGAAUCCAUUCAUGUAUGUUCUAACAUUGAUGUCGUCAAUUUAAUAUAUUGUUACAAGUUGUUGUCAUUCCAUGCUUGAUGAGGACAAGAAAAAUCCUUUCGUCCUAACUGUCAUGCCAUGCUUGAUGAGGACAAUUAACAAGUUGUUACAAGUUGUUGUCAUGCCACACCAAAGGCUUCAAGAAUCAUCCACUUUUCUCCAUAAUCAAGGUACUCAUGGCGCCACCAAAUGGUCUAUUUAGCUGAAAGUGGCUACCGUCCCGUGGCACCAGACUUAAGGGGUUAUGGAGAUACUACAGGUGCACCCGUUAACGACAUUUCAAAGUUCAGUAUCUGUCAACUCGUGGGUGAUCUUACCGCACUGCUUGAAGCCAUAGAUCCAAAUGAAGAUAACGUGUUUGUUGUUGCUCAUGUCUGGGGUGCCAUAAUUUCUUGGCAUUUAUGCCUUUUUAGGCCAGAGAAAGUUAAGGCGUUGGAGAAUUUGAGUGUCCAUUUUUUUCAAAGGAACCACACAUGAAUUUGGUGGAGGGGUUCAAGGCUUUAUAUGGGGAAGAUCAUUAUAUCCCAAGAUUUCAGGAUUCAGGUUGUGGCGGAGGUAGAAUUUUCACCGACGAAUUCAUCGUGUAACAUAUAUACACAAGAAAGAAACUUUGGCCUUGUAUAUACUGUGCGUGAUUGUCCGGAAAAGAAGAUCCGGAUGAACCUCCUUCCGCCCGUCUAGCUCCAUCCCUGGCCAUUCGGGGAUGGGCUGGACCAUAUUGAGUCUAUUUUUGACAAUUCUUACCUUGCAAACAUUACGUUAGUGAUAUCUCAUUAAUUUGUUUGGAACAUGUUGCAUACCAUUCAAACGUUCUUUGGAAUAACCGUAAUAUUAACUCUAUCUUAGUCUACCUAACUUUGACUUGAGAGACUACAUGUUUGCCUCUGUUGUUGAAAAGUCAGCACUCGUUUGGGGUCCGCCCCUGGCUGUCAUUUAGCGGUAACAGCUGGAGUUUGCUCCUCUUUCUAGGGAUCUAAUGGACGUAAACCAUCUCUGUAUCAAGAUCAUGAUAUUGAAACUUUGGCUAAAUAAACUAUACAAAAAAAUUCCUUAGUUUGUUUUAGAAGACAAAUUACUUGGACCUUAUUAGAAUGAUUCAAACCUGAAAGGAGCGGAAUCGAUGUUGCGGAGCCGCACAAAACCUAAAUAAUUCAUAAUUGAUGCGUAGUUAAUUGAUCGAUAUAAAUUAUCAUGCUCUCUAG